GUUGGGAUAGCUUAGUCAGUAGAGCAUGAGACUCUUAAUAUCAGGGUUGUGGCUUUGAGACCCUUUUUGGGCA